rnacentral:rRNA from 1 species
GACGAAGGUGGCAAGCGUUGUUCGGAAUCACUGGGCAUAAAGCGUGCGUAGGCGGCUAUGUAAGUCGGGUGUGAAAGCCCUCGGCUCAACCGAGGAACUGCGCCCGAUACUGCAUGGCUUGAGGUCCGGAGGGGAGAGUGGAAUUCCCGGUGGAGCGGUGAAAUGCGUAGAGAUCGGGAAGAACGCCGGCGGCGAAAGCGACUCUCUGGUCGGAAUCUGACGCUGAGGCACGAAAGCUAGGGGAGCAAACGGG